rnacentral:tRNA from 1 species
GAGGGACUAUAAUAUUGGCGUGAUCAUUAGCAUUGCUAAUGCUUUCUGGUUCGAUCCCAGAAGUCCCU